AUCGGCCAAACUAUGGAGCCCGAUGCCCGACUCCCACAAUGCGCCCGACUGACUGCCGGAGGGUUCCCGGACUUGCACCCAACGCCCCUCAACCAGCCGCCGACCUAUAGUCGGUCGGCUCCUCCAAACGCCGUACGACUGCUGGAGGCUGCCAGUCCUGACACCGGCAUGCGGCACAGCCGCCUUGGGGCAUUAUCCCACUUAAGGCAUGGGUCAACCCUAG
rnacentral:lncRNA from 1 species